rnacentral:lncRNA from 1 species
AUGCAAUUCUUCCCUGUCUGGUGUCAGAUGGCAGAGUACAUCUGCACAUCAGAUCUGAGGACCAAAGUCAGUGAAAGCAGACAAAACUGCUCAGGUCUUGGUACUAGUAGAGUUCAAACUUGUGUUCCCUGCUUGGGAAGAAUGAGUAAGAGAGAGGUUUGGCUGACCACCUCCACAGCUCAGUGCUCAGGGCCCCAUGAUGCUCGCGUUGGCUGAAGGGAGGCAGCAAAAACUAGCUGGGAAAGCCUUGUUCUGCUACGACUUCAGAAAAGGAAACAAAGGAAUAUCCAGCUGUGCUGCCCAUAAUGAGCAUCAUGAAACAUCACAGCAUGUUUUAACAGAGAGAUAUUCUACUGCAAUAACAACUGAUAUUCUAAACUCACAUUAAUUUAAGUUUAAAUAUAUAUAAAGAAAAAAAGAAAGUAACAGCAACAGCAAGAAACUCCCUAAAAAUAUCAGGGAAUUUCAGGGAAUUCUGAAAAGGCUGCUGGACAAAUAAACAGAAGAAAAAGAUUUCUGUGAUGUUCA